CCAGUCGAAACUUACCUCGGACUGAACGCACGUCGCUAUCGCUUAUUGAAUACUGUUUAUUGUUUUCGAAGCUUUUGCCUCAACUUUGAUAACACGCUUUCUUUGUGUUUAUCGUAGUAGUAUUGUCGUAAAGUGUAAAGUGUCUUCUGUGUACUGUUUAUAAACUGAAUAUCUAUCUGUGCUCGUAACCUUCAAUUCUUCAUAAUUUUAAUAAUAUAGACUGUGUUGUAUUUUCGUGUGGACUAAGUAUAAUUGAAUAAACAUUUAAUUGGUGUGCAAGGUGUCGUAUUUAAUUUAUUAGCCGAACACCGUCGACGCCUACUCAGGUCCAGUGUCAGCAACACUCCCGGUUUGAGGCCCGUGAGCUCACCUACGCGUCAAGGAGAAGCUGAAAUAGCUUCUCAAAGCUAUCAGCAUAGGUAGGAGAGAAAAAAAAGAAAAAAAUAGGUUGGGUGGCGGUAUUGCCGCUCUUAAUGUCUCUGAGCUUCGGAAAUCCAUAAGACCAGGCGGGCCAUGAACUCGUUCACCCGUGUAAGCAAUAAAAUAUAGAUAGAUAUACAUAUAUAUGUAGCACGUCCACUUUUAGUCGUUGUCAAAACAAUAUCAGCUAUGUCUACUUUUUGAAGAACUUGUCUAUUUUGUUAUUUGUUUGAGGAUUUGCACAAUUCUAAAUUUUGAAUAUUAUUCAUAUCGAUUUUAUAUUAUGUAAUUACACACACCAGAUUCACACCAAUGACAUUUUUAUAUCUAUAUUUAUGUUAGGUUUGACAGCUUGACAGAUUUCAAUUGUAUCUUGAGACAUCACAGUUUUUACAAAUACCUAAAUAAAAAAAAUAAAAGAAUCAAGCGUUAUUUUUUAUGUAUUUUGUUUAUUUACACGGUACAAAAAAGCAUAAUGGUAAACGUAUACAAUAAAAACAAAAUUAUAAUAACAAUUGCCUAUAAUUAAAUGUAUCUGAAACAGGAUCGAGAGGGCAUGUUAGACGUGUUUCGGAAUCAACGGAAGCUUGACAGAUAUAACAGCAUUGCUUAAAAGUUGCCAGCAUGACGAUGGAUAAAUUUACAAAAUCUUGUUUGCAGCUGCCAAUGAAGAUCUCGAAUCAGAACAAUAAAGUCGUAUCUGCUGUUUACGAACAUCGCUUCUAUGCGGAUCCUUAUUCAGUAAUUCGAUAUUCUUCUUGAGGACUCGACUACAAUUUUUCGAUCAAUGAUAGUCGCUGAGACAUCUAUGAUUAAUAUGAUUUACAAAUCGAAAUGUUAAAUUAGAAAACAUGAAAACUGUAAAAACUUUACUAUCGAGGAUAGGUAAUGUUAAUGUUAUCUAAAAGUAGGACCGCUAGGAGGUCCGUCCACAACAUUAACAGAAGAAGGAUGUUCCCAGGCUUGGCCGGGAUUAUCGACUACGUUUACACCAUUAUCCGACGACUCACAACAACUGCUGCAGGCACCCAUUUCGAU